rnacentral:rRNA from 1 species
AUAUGAAGUCGGACCUGCCCGGUGAAGUUUUAACGGCCGCGGUACUCUGACCGUGCAAAGGUAGCAUAAUCAUUUGCCUUAUAAUUGAAGGCUGGAAUGAAUGGUUUGACAAGAAUAUAGCUGUCUCUUUACGAUUAAAUAGAAUUUUACUUUAGGAUGAAAAGGUCCUAAUCAAAUUAAAAGACAAGAAGACCCUAUCGAGCUUUAAAAAAAUUAGCAAAAUAAUAUAUUAAUAACACUAAAAAAUUAGUUGCUAAAAAUUUUGGUUGGGGCAACCGAGGAGUAACAAAAACCUCCUUUAAAGUUAUUAAACAUAUUAGUAUUGAUCCAAAAUUUUUGAUUAAAAGAAAUAGUUACCGUAGGGAUAACAGCAUUAUCUUUUUUGAGAGCUCUUAUCGAAAAAAAGGUUUGUGACCUCGAUGUUGGACCAGAAUGUCCUGAAGAUGCAGAAGUCUUUAAGGGUUGGUCUGUUCGACCAUUAAAAUUCUA